GAUCAUGGCUCAGGAUGAACGCUAGCUACAGGCUUAACACAUGCAAGUCGAGGGGCAGCAUGAAAGGAACUUCGGUUCUUUUUGAUGGCGACCGGCGCACGGGUGCGUAACGCGUAUCGAACCUGCCUCAUACUCGGGGAUAGCCUUGCGAAAGUAAGAUUAAUACCCGGCGGUCUCGGAUGGCCACAUGACUAUCCGAGUGAAGAUUUACCGGUAUGAGAUGGCGAUGCGUCCCA
rnacentral:rRNA from 1 species